AUUCCGGCUGAUGCCGGAAUUGAAAAUUGCGCAACUGAAAAUUGAAAAUCCGCCGGAGCGCAUUUUCAAUUUUCAAUUCUCAAUUUUCGAUCCGGACCGGGGCUGUAGCUCAGCUGGGAGAGCACCUGCUUUGCAAGCAGGGGGUCGUCGGUUCGAUCCCGAUCAGCUCCACCAAUUUCCCUUCCGUUCGCGAGCAUCUGCGGUGAGCAUUCCGUUGGAUCGUGCUCAGCGUCGAUCUUCGCGAUCAGCGUGUCUUUGACAAUUGAAUACGGGGAAGUAGAUAAAGAGAUGCAAGGAGCUUUUCUUUUUGAAGAGAAGCAACUGCAGAUCGCAUGAGAUCAAGGCACUUUAUGGUCAAGUUACUAAGGGUUGACGGUGGAUACCUAGGCACACAGAGA
rnacentral:tRNA from 1 species